rnacentral:rRNA from 1 species
CCUACGGGAGGCAGCAGUGGGGAAUAUUGGUCAAUGGACGAGAGUCUGAACCAGCCACGCAGCGUGAAGGAUGACUGCCCUAUGGGUUGUAAAUUUUUUUUAUAUGGGCAUAAAAAGUUCCAGGUGUGGGAUUUUGAAUGAACCAUAAGUAUAAGGAUCGGCCAACUCCGUGCCAGAAGUGGCGGUAAUUCGGAGGAUCCGAGCGUUAUCCGGAUUUACUGGGUGUAAAGGGAGCGUAGGUGGAUAGUUAAGUCAGUUGUGAAAGUUUUGGGCUCAACCGUUAAAUUGCAUUUGAAACUGGCAGUCUUGAGUACCGGAGAGGUGGGCGGAAUUCGUGGUGUAGCGGUGAAAUGCUUAGAUAUCACGAAGAACACCGGUUGCGAAGGCAGCUCACUGGACUACAACUGACACUGAGGCUCGAAAGUGUGGGUAUCAAACAGGAUUAGAUACCCGAGUAGUC